AACGAACGCUGGCGGCGCGCCUAAUACAUGCAAGUCGAGCGAGAAGACGUAGCAAUACGUUUGUAAAGCGGCGAACGGGUGAGGAAUACAUGGGUAACCUACCCUCGAGUGGGGAAUAACUAGCCGAAAGGUUAGCUAAUACCGCGUACGCUCCUUGGACUUCGGUUCAGGGAGGAAAGCGAUACCGUGGGUAUCGCGCUCUUGGAUGGGCUCAUGUCCUAUCAGCUUGUUGGUGAGGUAACGGCUCACCAAGGCUUCGACGGGUAGCUGGUCUGAGAGGACGAUCAGCCACACUGGCACUGCGACACGGGCCAGACUCCUACGGGAGGCAGCAGUAAGGAAUAUUGCGCAAUGGGCGAAAGCCUGACGCAGCGACGCCGCGUGGGGGAUGAAGGUCUUCGGAUUGUAAACCCCUUUCGGGA
rnacentral:rRNA from 1 species